GAGUUUGAUCCUGGCUCAGGGCGAACGCUGGCGGCGUGCCUGAGACAUGCAAGUCGAGCGGGGGUUGGCCCGUGGCUUCGGCCACGGGUUUCAGCUCUAGCGGCGAACGGCGGAGUAACACGUGGGUAACCUGCCCCGAAGACCGGGAUAACCCUGGGAAACCGGGGCUAAUACCGGAUGUGGUCCAUUGGGCUUCGGCCUGGUGGACUAAAGGGGCGCAAGCCUCGCUUCGGGAUGGGCCCGAGGCCUAUCAGGUAGUUGGUGGGGUAACGGCCCACCAAGCCGACGACGGGUAGCCGGCGUGAGAGCGUGGCCGGCCCGAGGGGCACUGAGACACGGGCCCCACUCCUACGGGAGGCAGCAGUCCGGAAUCUUGGGCAAUGGGGGAAACCCUGACCCAGCGACGCCGCGUGGGGGAUGAAGCCCUUCGGGGUGUAAACCCCUUUUGGCGGGGACGACUCAGGACGGUACCCGCCGAAUAAGCCCCGGCUAACUACGUGCCAGCAGCCGCGGUAAAACGUAGGGGGCGAGCGUUGCCCAGAUUUACUGGGCGUAAAGGGGGCGUAGGCGGCUCGGCAAGUCUGGGGUGAAAUCCCUCCGCUCAACGGAGGGGCUGCCUCAGAAACUGCCGGGCUAGAGGGCAGGAGAGGGGAUUGGAAUUCCCGGUGUAGCGGUGAAAUGCGUUGAUAUCGGGAGGAACACCAGUGGCGAAGGCGGAUCCCUGGCCUGCCCCUGACGCUCAGGCCCGAAAGCUGGGGGAGCGAAAGGGAUUAGAUACCCCUGUAGUCCCAGCCCUAAACGUUGGGCGCUAGGUGUUGGGGGGAUUAACCCCUCAGUGCCGAAGCUAACGCAUUAAGCGCCCCGCCUGGGGAGUACGGCCGCAAGGCUGAAACUCAAAGGAAUUGACGGGGGCCCGCACAAGCGGUGGAGCAUGUGGCUUAAUUCGAUACUAACCGAAGAACCUUACCUGGGCUUGACAUGCACGGGAAAGCCCCCCGAAAGAGGGGCCCUCCAGGUCCGUCAGGACCUGGACUCGUGCACACCGGUUGCAUGGCUGUCGUCAGCUCGUGCCGUGAGGUGUUGGGUUAAGUCCCGCAACG
rnacentral:rRNA from 1 species